AACGCGAAGAACCUUACCUGGUCUUGACAUCCCAGGAACCCUUCAGAGAUGAGGGGGUGCCUUCGGGAACCUGGAGACAGGUGCUGCAUGGCUGUCGUCAGCUCGUGUCGUGAGAUGUUGGGUUAAGUCCCGCAACGAGCGCAACCCUUGUCCUGUGUUGCCAUACCGAAAGGUGGAACUCGCAGGAGACCGCCAGGGAUAACCUGGAGGAAGGUGGGGAUGACGUCAAGUCCUCAUGGCCUUUAUGUCCAGGGCUACACACGUGCUACAAUGGACGGUACAAAGGGCUGCCAACCCGCGAGGGGGAGCCAAUCCCAAAAAACCGUUCUCAGUUCGGAUUGCAGGCUGCAACUCGCCUGCAUGAAGCUGGAAUCGCUAGUAAUGGCGGAUCAGAACGCCGCCGUGAAUACGUUCCCGGGCCUUGUACACACCGAGACGAC
rnacentral:rRNA from 1 species